UACGAAGGGGGCUAGCGUUGUUCGGAUUUACUGGGCGUAAAGCGCAUGUAGGCGGGCCGAUAAGUUGGGGGCGAAAGCCCGGAGCUCAACUCCGGAACUGCCUUCAAAACUGCCGGCCUGGAGCAGAUGAGAGGCGAGUGGAAUUCCGAGUGUAGAGGUGAAAUUCGUAGAUAUUCGGAGGAACACCAGUGGCGAAGGCGACUCGCUGGCAUCUUGCUGACGCUGAGAUGCGAAAGCGUGGGGAGCAAACAGG
rnacentral:rRNA from 1 species